rnacentral:rRNA from 1 species
GACGAACGCUGGCGGCGUGCUUAACACAUGCAAGUCGAGCGGUAAGGCCUUUCGGGGUACACGAGCGGCGAACGGGUGAGUAACACGUGGGUGAUCUGCCCUGCACUUCGGGAUAAGCCUGGGAAACUGGGUCUAAUACCGGAUAUGACCUCCUAUCGCAUGGUGGGUGGUGGAAAGAUUUAUCGGUGCAGGAUGGGCCCGCGGCCUAUCAGCUUGUUGGUGGGGUAAUGGCCUACCAAGGCGACGACGGGUAGCCGACCAGAGAGGGUGACCGGCCACACUGGGACUGAGACACGGCCCAGACUCCUACGGGAGGCAGCAGUGGGGAAUAUUGCACAAUGGGCGAAAGCCUGAUGCAGCGACGCCGCGUGAGGGAUGACGGCCUUCGGGUUGUAAACCUCUUUCAGCAGGGACGAAGCGCAAGUGACGGUACCUGCAGAAGAAGCACCGGCUAACUACGUG